rnacentral:rRNA from 1 species
CAGUAGCCGCGGGAAUACGUAGGGUGCAAGCGUUAAUCGGAAUUACUGGGCGUAAAGCGUGCGCAGGCGGUGUUGUAAGACUGAUGUGAAAUCCCCGGGCUCAACCUGGGAACUGCAUUGGUGACUGCAACGCUGGAGUGCGGCAGAGGGGGAUGGAAUUCCGCGUGUAGCAGUGAAAUGCGUAGAUAUGCGGAGGAACACCGAUGGCGAAGGCAAUCCCCUGGGCCUGCACUGACGCUCAUGCACGAAAGCGUGGGGAGCAAACAGGAUUAGAUACCCGCGUAGUCCCUGUCUCUUAUAC